UGUGUUAGCGGCGGACGGGUGAGUAACACGUGGGUAACCUGCCCAUAAGACUGGGAUAACUCCGGGAAACCGGGGCUAAUACCGGAUAACAUUUUGAACCGCAUGGUUCGAAAUUGAAAGGCGGCUUCGGCUGUCACUUAUGGAUGGACCCGCGUCGCAUUAGCUAGUUGGUGAGGUAACGGCUCACCAAGGCAACGAUGCGUAGCCGACCUGAGAGGGUGAUCGGCCACACUGGGACUGAGACACGGCCCAGACUCCUACGGGAGGCAGCAGUAGGGAAUCUUCCGCAAUGGACGAAAGUCUGACGGAGCAACGCCGCGUGAGUGAUGAAGGCUUUCGGGUCGUAAAACUCUGUUGUUAGGGAAGAACAAGUGCUAGUUGAAUAAGCUGGCACCUUGACGGUACCUAACCAGAAAGCCACGGCUAACUACGUGCCAGCAGCCGCGGUAAUACGUAAGUGGCAAGCGUUAUCCGGAAUUAUUGGGCGUAAAGCGCGCGCAGGUGGUUUCUUAAGUCUGAUGUGAAAGCNCACGGCUCAACCGUGGAGGGUCAUUGGAAACUGGGAGACUUGAGUGCAGAAGAGGAAAGUGGAAUUCCAUGUGUAGCGGUGAAAUGCGUAGAGAUAUGGAGGAACACCAGUGGCGAAGGCGACUUUCUGGUCUGUAACUGACACUGAGGCGC
rnacentral:rRNA from 1 species